UACAGAGGGGGGCUAGCGUUGUUCGGAAUUACUGGGCGUAAAGGGCUCGUAGGCGGCCAACUAAGUCAGACGUGAAAUCCCCAGGCUUAACCUGGGAACUGCAUCCGAUACUGGAUGGCUUGAAUUCGGGAGAGGGAAGUGGAAUUCCAGGUGUAGUGGUGAUAUGCGUAGAUAUCGGGAGGAACACCAGUGGCGAAGGCGGUGUUCUGGGCCAGUACUGACGCUGAUGCGCGAAAGCGUGGGGAGCGAACAGG
rnacentral:rRNA from 1 species